rnacentral:rRNA from 1 species
AAAGCGUGCGUAGGCGGCUUUUUAAGUCGGAUGUGAAAUCCCCGAGCUUAACUUGGGAAUUGCAUUCGAUACUGGGAAGCUAGAGUAUGGGAGAGGAUGGUAGAAUUCCAGGUGUAGCGGUGAAAUGCGUAGAGAUCUGGAGGAAUACCGAUGGCGAAGGCAGCCAUCUGGCCUAAUACUGACGCUGAGGUACGAAAGCAUGGGGAGCAAACAGGAUUAGAUACCCUUGU